GCAUCAUUGGUCUAGUGGUAGAAUUCAUCGUUGCCAAUCAUCAGUAGAUUCUGAUUUCGAUUUCGAUGAGGCCCGUGUUCGAUUCACGGAUGAUGCA
rnacentral:tRNA from 1 species